rnacentral:rRNA from 1 species
GACGAACGCUGGCGGCGUGCUUAACACAUGCAAGUCGAACGGAAAGGCCCUGCUUUUGUGGGGUGCUCGAGUGGCGAACGGGUGAGUAACACGUGAGUAACCUGCCCUUGACUUUGGGAUAACUUCAGGAAACUGGGGCUAAUACCGGAUAGGAGCUCCUGCUGCAUGGGGGGGUUUGGAAAGUUUCGGCGGUUGGGGAUGGACUCGCGGCUUGUCAGCUUGUUGGUGGGGUAGUGGCUUACCAAGGCUUUGACGGGUAGCCGGCCUGAGAGGGUGACCGGCCACAUUGGGACUGAGAUACGGCCCAGACUCCUACGGGAGGCAGCAGUGGGGAAUAUUGCACAAUGGGCGGAAGCCUGAUGCAGCAACGCCGCGUGCGGGAUGACGGCCUUCGGGUUGUAAACCGCUUUCGCCUGUGACGAAGCGUGAGUGACGGUAAUGGGUAAAGAAGCACCGGCUAACUACGUG